rnacentral:rRNA from 1 species
CCUACGGGUGGCAGCAGUGGGGAAUAUUGCGCAAUGGGCGAAAGCCUGACGCAGCGACGCCGCGUGAGGGAUGAAGGUCUUCGGAUCGGAAACCUCUGUCAGCAGGGAAGAACGGUCACUGUGCUAAUCAGCAGUGAAUUGACGGUACCUGCAAAGGAAGCACCGGCUAACUCCGUGCCAGCAGCCGCGGUAAUACGGGGGGUGCGAGCGUUAAUCGGAAUUACUGGGCGAAAAGCGCUCGUAGGCGGUAUGUCAAGCCAAGGGUGAAAUCCCCGGGCUCAACGGGGGAAGUGCCUUUGAAACGGGAAACGUGAGUGGGUGAGAGGGAAGUGGGAUUCCAGGUGUAGGGGGGAAAUCCGG